GUAAAUUGUUGUUAAUUAAAAUUAUUAUUUUAGUUUGGAGAGCUGUGCUGUUAGUGUUUCAUUAUCUCCAACAUCUAGACAUCUUAUUGUUGGAUUAACAACGAGAACAAGGAUUACACAGAGUGCUGGUGAUACUCCACUGAUGGCUCAGGUGUUCGGUAUUAAACUACCUGAGAGGGAAGGGGAGAGGGGUAGACUACUGCAUAGGAAGGAUAUUAAUCAGGUGGAACCUGGUAAUAUCAGCUUAAACUGUAUAAGAUGGAUUCCUGUAGCUGGACAAGGGCUGGUGUUUGCAACUAAUACUGGGCUCCUUAAGAUACUUAGAUAAUUCAAUAACAGGGGGAUAAACUUCAGGCUGGGAUAUGAACUUCAAGCAGGGAGAUAAACUGCGGUUAAGGAAAAAAUCAAGGGUGGUUUGAAAAUAAAUUUGAAUUGUGAGAAGAAACUUGAAAAAUGGAGAAUAGUUGUUAACCCUUAGAAGCAUGAAAUAACUUAUAUUCAUCCAGAUAAGAAAAAAUCACCAUGGAGAAGAUAUUUCCCGAACCGAUAUUCUGAAACCUCGAAGUCGAAAUCCGCAAUUGUCACCCUGAAACCAUGGAUGCUUGGAUGGAAUAUAUCUAUGAAACCAUUAAAGGAAUAUAUCUGAAAGCAUAGGAAUAUAUCUAUGAAACCAUGGAAGGAAUAUAUUUAUGAAACCAUGGAAGGAAUAUAUCUAUGAAACCAUGGAAGGAAUAUAUCUAUGAAACCAUGAAAGAAUAUUACCUAGGUCUGAACAAAUGAUAAAACUUAUUUUAAUAAUUACACAUUACAUUUAGGUUUACUUGGAUGUAGUAUAUGAAAAGUGUCGGUGUUAAUACAUAGUUCGUAAAUAUUUAAUAUAUAAACAUAUUUAAACCUAUGAACCCAAAUUGGGUCAUCCUAAACUACAUGUAGUCGCUAAUUUCUUAGUAUCUGCAAAAUAGUCGAGGCUAUCUACUCCAGUAUAUAUUUAACAAAAUUGUGUUGAAUAUCUAAAAUUGUCCCACCAUUAUAAUUAAGCUAAUAUUUACAUGAAGUUAUCUUUUUUAAUAUUUGUAUUUAAGAAAUUAGUAAUUGGGACGUUGCUAAAGUAGUAAAUGUGAUAAAAUUAAUUUUUUAAUUAAACAUGUCGCAGUUCGGAUUGAACCGUAACUUACUAAAAUUUGAAGAUUUAACCGGUUACCCGGCUUACCUUUACUGAAAAUUUGAAUUUGGUUAAUUUGACAGUUCCCUGUACAAAGUAACUCCUUCUAAACAAUUGAAACGUAAUUUCAUCCUUACAUCCGAUUACUCUAAAUUUUAGUUGGAAUAAAACAUUUCUAAACAAAAUACAAAUAUUCGAUUAAACCAAAGUUUUUUUUUCAACAGAAUUGAAAAUAUUAUGUUAAGAUGAUUGUAGAAAAUUAGGAAAAUUAGGAAAAUGAAACUAGUUAAAAAUUUCCGAAAAUUACUUGUCCCAAUCUAUUAAAAUUUAUUUUUCCUACCUCUUAUAUAUUUAAAACUGAAAAGAGGAUUUUCAACUUGAGUAAUAUAUUAAACUUGAUUGUACGUAAAUCCAGUGCUGCGUACUAUACGCAUAAGAAUCAUGUACAUAGCUUCCGUUGUAAAUUUAUUGUAUUAAUUUGCUUGCUGAUAUUUAAAAAAUUUCCAUAAAUAUUUUAUUUUGUA